UCCAGCUCCUCCACUAUUUGCGAUCUCCGAUCAACGUCAACCUCCAUAAAAACUGAGUUAGUAUCAUCAAUCAAUCACUUUCUUUAGGCUUUUUCUCUUUAAAUUAUGCAUUUGAUAAACUGUGGGUCUCUUAUUUCAAUUGAAUUUAAGCUUGAAUAGGAUAUGUAAACCCAGAAACACAUAUUUUCAAUUAGAAAGAAAAAUUCGAAUCUGGUUUACAAAUUGAAAUUUGGGAUGUUAGUAGUCAACUUCUUACUCAAAUAGAUCAAUGUCUUUUAGAUUACUGUAUACAAGUGUAUAAGUUGAUUGAUAAAUCAUUGUCUUUUAGUAAUUCCACAGUUGUUAAGAAUCUGUAACGUUUGUUCUCCGAAUUUGAUUGCGGUUAUUAAGUUGGUUUACAACAACAGCAGUUGCGCUUGAAUCUUUCUUUUGUUUUUCUGAAAUACACUAAAACUACAGAUAUUUAGCUAUUGUGGAUUUGUAGUUUGACUGAUAAAUUCUUUUCAGGUGUUCAGAAAUGUCAUGCAUCAAUUCAUCAACCACAGUUUGAAAUUGGAUUAAGGCUUGCAGAACCUUACACUUUCAUCAAUUAUUGUUGAGCUUCAACCAGGAACUAUGGCUGGUUGCUUCUUAUGAAUUAGCAAGCCUAAAGCGUUUUUAGUGGAGAAAUAAGUGAAUGGUGCGCUUCAACAAAUAAGCUUGGACAUCUAUCGAUAGCUUCUACAAUGACUAUAAAAUGAUGCACCUACAAGAUCUACAGAGAUUGGAAGGAGUUCUAUAUGUUUCAAGAGUACAUCAACACCAUUAAUGAUCUGUAAUAGUUCUGUAUCAAUGUUCACGCCUUAGGAGAUUAUAGUUACAGUUGCCACUGAUUUUGGAGUGAAACCUACUCUUGCUCUUUGGGUUCAUAGAAUCCAGAAAGAGAGUGUGGGCUAUGUAGCCUCAUUUAGCGUUUAACUACCAAAAGAUAAUAAUUGUUUAUAUACUCUAAUCGACUG